rnacentral:rRNA from 1 species
UACGGAGGGUGCAAGCGUUAUCCGGAUUCACUGGGUUUAAAGGGUGCGUAGGUGGAUUGGUAAGUCAGUGGUGAAAUCUCCAGGCUUAACUUGGAAACUGCCAUUGAUACUAUCAAUCUUGAAUACCGUGGAGGUCAGCGGAAUAUGUCAUGUAGCGGUGAAAUGCUUAGAUAUGACAUAGAACACCAAUUGCGAAGGCAGCUGGCUACACGAAUAUUGACACUGAUGCACGAAAGCGUGGGGAUCAAACAGG